GACGAACGCUGGCGGCGUGCCUAAUACAUGCAAGUUGAGCGCUGAAGGUUGGUACUUGUACCAACUGGAUGAGCAGCGAACGGGUGAGUAACGCGUGGGGAAUCUGCCUUUGAGCGGGGGACAACAUUUGGAAACGAAUGCUAAUACCGCAUAAAAACUUUAAACACAAGUUUUAAGUUUGAAAGAUGCAAUUGCAUCACUCAAAGAGGAUCCCGCGUUGUAUUAGCUAGUUGGUGAGGUAAAGGCUCACCAAGGCGAGGAUACAUAGCCGACCUGAGAGGGUGAUCGGCCACCUUGGGACUGAGACACGGCCCAAACUCCUACGGGAGGCAGCAGUAGGGAAUCUUCGGCAAUGGACGAAAGUCUGACCGAGCAACGCCGCGUGAGUGAAGAAGGUUUUCGGAUCGUAAAACUCUGUUGGUAGAGAAGAACGUUGGUGAGAGUGGAAAGCUCAUCAAGUGACGGUAACUACACAGAAAGGGACGGCUAACUACGUG
rnacentral:rRNA from 1 species